rnacentral:rRNA from 1 species
UACAGAGGUCCCGAGCGUUGUUCGGAUUCAUUGGGCGUAAAGGGUGCGUAGGCGGCUUCCUAAGUUUGAUGUGAAAUCCUGGGGCUCAACCCUGGAACUGCAUUGAAUACUGGGAGGCUAGAGUACUGGAGAGGAAACUGGAAUUUACGGUGUAGCAGUGAAAUGCGUAGAGAUCGUAAGGAAGACCAGUGGCGGAGGCGAGUUUCUGGACAGUUACUGACGCUGAGGCACGAAGGCCAGGGGAGCAAACGGG